AUUCAUCCAUCGAUCCAUAUUCCUGUUGAAUAAGGUAAGGUUGGGUGGCAAUUGGCAAAGCCAAUCACACUUUCACCGAAGAAGCGUCGUCUCACACUUUGCGGUGACUUCCUUCGCUUUUCUUCUCCCCCAAUUACCUCCUUCUCUCUCUACAUCAUUCUAUCUUCCCCCCUUUUCUCUCUCCUCCUCCGGCAAACCCUUAAUUUCUUCGUCACUCUUCCACUCUCUCUCUCUUCUUCGAUUUCCGUAUUUUGAUGAAUUUUUCCUAGGGUUUCUAUUUCCUCAAUUUCGAUUUCUAGGGUUUUGUUUUUGUUAAACAGAAAUUUCGCACUUUUUGGUAUUCAUUUGAAUUCAUUGCUCGACGAACGAGUUUUCAAGCUUCGGAGCUGGCGAUUUUGCUGAUAAAGGUCCGCCUUUGCUAUUAAUUGCUCCUUUUUUUUUGUGUUUCUUUGUUUUCUGUGUUAAGUUUCGAUUUAUUUUCUCAGAUCUGUGUGAGUGCAAGUUGGUGUAAAUUUUGAUUUCUAGGGUUUUUGUUUUAGGAAGUUCAAUUUGGUUAUGUUCAUCUAAAACACAAAAAAAUUAAAAAAAUUGUUUCUUUGUGUGUUCGCCUUUGAAUUGCUGGUCGGCUGAAGGUAUAUAAUUAGGGUUAUUGAGGAUUAGGGUGUAAUUGAAAUUGUUUUCCGAGUAAAGGGGUUUCUUUGCUUGAAUUUAUGGCUGCUGGAAGGAAUGGGGGGUACCACGAAACUGAAUAUAAGGAACGCAGCUCGGAUUAUGAUACCGCGAGGCGAGAUAUAGCUUAUUCAAAAGGUGAAUAUGAUAAAAUUAGGAAUGGUAAUCAGGUUAGGGAUCGGGAGAUAAUAAGGGGUAGAGACAGUAGAGCUAGGGUUAGACAGAGAGAUAUUAGGGAAAGGGACUUUGCUAACGGCGGUGAUUAUCGCUCGUCUUCGAGUAAAAGUGAUUCAGGGGGAAGUGGGGUUGGUGGUGGUGGUGGAGGGGGAGGGGGAGGAGGGCCUAGGAGAUGUGGGAAUUCAGCGAGGAUUACGGAUCGUGAGCCUGGUGAAUUGUCUAGUGAGGAUGGGUCUGAGAGUGCUGUCGAUUCAGAAUCACGGUUUGGAAAGGAUAAUGAAGUGUCGAAGAUGGAUAAUGGGGCUCAUUCCUCUCCUCUGGCUACUAAGAAAAGAAAGUUUUCUCCUAUUGUAUGGGAUAGAGAUGACAAGGGUGCUACAGAUGCAUCAAGAAGUAGAUCUGUAUCCACUACUGCUUCCCUUCCUCCUCAGCCUGUUCGGAAAUCAUACCAGCAGUCUCCUGCCACGAUGCGUGUAGAGAGUAAGGAGGUAUCUCCUGUUAAAAGUGAUGAACCGCAUGAAGACGUUGAAGUUUCUCUUGUUGAUCCCUCUGUGGAACAGGAUCGUUUGUAUGAUGAUAAUGUAUCUGAGUCUCCUGCAAAUCAUCGUUCUUCACCAUAUCAGGAGACACAGUGGGGGAAUGGCAAAGGGGCUGAGCAGGUAGAUGAUGAGGAUUACAUUCCCACCAGGCACAUAUCAGCCUCUAGGUGGGCAGGUAAUGCUAAUUCUCCGGCCGAUGAAGGUGAGAUUUCAGAUGAUGACAUAAUGCGGAAAAAGAGGAAGAAGAUGCCUUCCUCUGAGUAUCUAGAUACUAGGAAGAGCAGGAAGUCAUCUAGUCCAGAUGCUGGAGAUGGUGCAAGAGAGGUUUCUGACGUAGCUAAGGGAAGAUUAUCAGAUUCUGAUGGAAGCAUGCAAAGUAGACCUUCCACUGGAGAUCGUGAUCUUCAAAAUAAUAAAGAUAGGGAGGAUAAUAUUGAGGUAGAUGAUAGAUACAAUGACACUGACUCUAGCCUAAGCCCCAUAAGAGCUGACUCCGAUGAUGAAGAUUAUUCUCGUGAAACACCUGAACCUCCAGUUGCUCCUAAAAGAACAGUGAAUAUGCUUCAGGGUUGUAGGAGUGUGGAUGAGUUUGAAAGACUGAAUAAGAUAGACGAAGGAACUUAUGGUGUAGUUUACAGAGCUAAAGAUAAGAAGACUGGAGAAAUUGUAGCUUUGAAAAAGGUAAAGAUGGAGAAGGAAAGGGAGGGCUUUCCAUUGACUUCUCUGAGGGAAAUUAACAUUCUUUUGUCACUGCACCACCCGUCCAUUGUUGAUGUCAAGGAAGUAGUUGUUGGAAGCAACCUUGAUAGUAUCUUUAUGGUUAUGGAAUACAUGGAGCAUGAUCUUAAAGCGCUUAUGGAGACCAUGAAACAGCCAUUUAGUCAGAGUGAAGUUAAAUGCCUCAUGCUUCAGUUAUUAGAUGGUAUAAAGUAUCUUCAUGAUAAUUGGGUCCUUCAUCGUGAUUUAAAGACAUCAAAUUUGCUUAUGAACAACCAGGGUGAGUUGAAGAUAUGUGACUUUGGAUUGGCUCGUCAAUAUGGGAGUCCAUUGAAGCCAUAUACUCAUUUGGUUGUCACACUUUGGUACAGGUCACCGGAGCUUCUGUUGGGUGCAAAGGAGUAUUCAACAGCCAUUGAUAUGUGGUCACUCGGUUGCAUUAUGGCUGAGCUCUUGUCAAAGGAGCCUCUUUUUAAUGGAAAAUCGGAAUUCGAUCAACUUGACAAGAUAUUCAGGAUCCUUGGCACACCAAAUGAGACAAUCUGGCGUGGUUUUUCCAAGUUGCCUGGAGUGAAGGUCAAUUUCGUGAAGCACCAGUAUAACCAGUUGCGCAAGAAAUUUCCAGCCACGUCAUUUACCGGAUCUCCUGUCCUCUCUGAUGCUGGAUUUGAUUUGUUGAACAGACUUUUAACUUAUGAUCCUGAAAAGCGUAUCACAGCGGAUGCUGCUCUAAACCAUGAAUGGUUUCAUGAAGUUCCUCUUCCCAAGUCAAAGGAAUUUAUGCCUACGUUUCCUGCUCAACAUGCGCAAGACAGGCGAGUGCGCAGGGUUCUGAAGAGUCCUGAUCCCUUGGAAGAGCAACGCAGGAAGGAAUUGCAGCAAGCAGAAUUGGGAACUGGCGGUUUGUUUGGGUAGUAACAUAGGCCCUACUGUAGACCUGAGAUUUUUAUGCUCCAUGAUUUUUGCCAAUGCCAACAAAUGGGACAUGCAUGAGGUGAGGGAGAUGGAUUCAACACAACUUGCUAAAGAAAGGCUUGUCAGAUUGUCAUUCAUGCUGUUUUUUAGCAGGCAUGUUUGAUGAAACGACUGGAGGGAUAUAUUUUUUGCCUAUGCCACAAGAUCUGUAGCAGUCAUGUUAUCUUCCAGCUUUGGUGAUAGGAUGCAUCACAGCAGUGCUUGCAUCAUAAGAGGUGGUUGGUGUAAAGCGGAGGGAACGUUCUUUGCUUUUCAUUGACGAGCGUUUUACAAAUUAGAAAAAAGCUCCUGAACUUUGAUGACUUUUCUCUGCGAAUGUCACUGCAGUACUAAAGCCAGCAGGUUGAGGAGGUAGAAAUCCCAAUUGUAUUUUGGUUCAUCACAAAAUGUAUAGCUCGAGACCAUUUAGAGGUACCUUACAACUCUCAUGUUUCCAUUUAUAAUUUCUCUCUUGGGUAACUUUUGUUUAACAUCUUUGGAGAUAAUAUUUAAGAAGUAUUAAUUCUGCUAAGGUUAUGAGAUUUCUUGAGAAAAUGCUAAUUAAUGUUCUGCCCUCCAACCUUAUUACAAGAGGUUAUUACCUAAUCUUGUUAAUAUCAAGCUAGAUCACACCUUACCAGAAAAAUCAAGACUAGGCCUGACCAAAUAUUUUUACUUUUUUCUUACAAAAGGUCUUUUAUUGCAUAUUUGUAAAAAUUAUGAAAAUUAGAUAUUCAGAAAAUGCACUUUGAGGAGUUUCUAACAAGACCUCACUUGAGAUAUUUUUCCUUUAAUCUGGUGGCAAAGUACAUUCAAAGGUCAGUCAGAUUAGGAGAUUAGACUAGACCAGAUCAAGUCAAAAUGAUUCAGAAAUGUACACCUUAUUUCAGUUGUAGAUACAAAGCCUAAUUAGUUGCUAGUACUUUCGAGGACUAUUGAAAAACUACUGUGAGUCAGUUGUCGCCUUAAGCAUUAAAGCUAAAUUCCUGUGUGAGAUGUAGCCCUCCACUGUUAGCUGUAUGUGGUUGAUUUAUGUGAUAUGGCACCUCACCUCUGUGUGAAAUUUUUGUGUCUUGUUAAUACCGACUUGAUAUUGGAAUCUGGGCUGCUGUCCUUGUAAGUCUUCUUUGUUUAAAUGUAGUAAGACAGCUCUGGUGAGUUGAUAUGAGGAGUCUUCUGUAUACAACUAUAUAUUGAUGGUGCAAGUAUGUACUGGUAUUUAUUAAACCAUUGGUGGAGCUAUUUUUGGACUAGGAUUUGGAAGAUUGUUACAGGUUAUUUACAUUAUUUCAGUUGGUUAGUGGUAUUUUUGUCCCCCAUCUCCAUGCUACUUUGCCCUUUCGGUGUAUGUAGCAUGGAAAGCCUUGAGAAAUCUAAAGGGAGAUACUAUUCUACAGAGAAAUAAAAACCAAUACAAGUCAAAGACCCCCUGAUCCAAAUUACUUAUCUGAAAUUGCCUAGCUCACAAUGAGUUUUCUGUGUUUGCUAAGAUGUAUAAACCCUAGACUUGUCUACUUGCUUUUAUUUCAACUCAAUGGAGUUGGGUGUAUUUUAUUUGGUCUGCAUUUGUCAUUGUCCAUUUAUAUUCUGUUUCAUCCAGGAUUGUUCUUCAGUUAUAGUGUCAUUAACUGUGAAGCAGUAUGGUUAUAUAGGAACCCUGUGAUGGACAACAGGGUUCUUUUAUUAGAUAUGAUGGCUAUGUUUCGUUUUCUUUAUAAUUAGCCAUGUUAGAAGGGUGUGUAAUAUUAGAUGGGAUACCGGUAGUAGUUCAGAACUCGAUUAUAUUGGUACGUUUCGGUAUAGUAUCUUAGACUUAGCGGAGAUUAGUAUGCUAUAAUAAUUGCCCGACUGCCCGUCCUCUCUCUCAAAAAAUAAAAUAAAAUUUAAUAAAAAUAUAUAAGAACCCUGCCACUGUUUCUCUUCGCCCAGCAUUAAUUAGUGGAUUGUGCUAUGGUAUCCUUUGGCUUAGUUGGUCAAUGUAAGUCUUCUAUCCAUCUCUGAUAGUGAGAAGGUGAAAAUGUGACCUGUGAUUCCUCUGUUCUUUGGUUGCUGCAUAAUUGCAUGGGCUAUGCUGUCUUGCUUCAUGAGUUCAGCAAAUAAAAUAUCUAGCAAAGUUAUGUUUGUGAUUUUGUUAUCGUUUCACACUUUCACCUGCUUGUUUAUUUAUAAAUCAUCCUUACAUCUAUUCACAAUGCUUAAAUUGGUCGGUGGGUUAUUUCCCUCCUCAUAUGUGAUAAUUUUCUACUGGCUGGCUUUCGUUAUUGUGCGGUUUGUUUCUUCUCAAUAGGUAUCUUAUCUGUGAGUUUUUACUGGUAUGGAUCGUCAUUCUUUAUCUGAUGUAAUCUUUAUACCAUUUUGUUUAUUGUUUUUGUUUGUUGCUAUGGUUGUACAAUUUUUUCAAUAUUUUUUAUGAACUAUACGGAAAGGGUGUUUUUGUUUGUUGUUUGCUCCUCAAUGCUUGGCUGUGUUGUUAAGCUUAUCAUAUACACAAGGGUAAAUUCCCUGGUGUCUAUUGAUAUUCAUUGUGUUUUUUUUUGCUAGAUUAAAUAUUAUUCGUUGAAAAUAGUAGUGCUUUAUGAUCUGGGUACUUAGCAGUUAUAUGCUACAGACCAUGGUGGAACAUAUAGAAAGGGUAAUAAACCACCAUGCAUCAUCAGCUGAAUUGUUUUUUGUUAAGCAAUAUCAACUAUGUCUAGUUAUUGUUUUCAUUCCAGAAUGUAAUUUUUUUAGUCGGUUUGAAGAGGUUUUAGUUGAAGUGAGCCAAGGGAUGGGUUCUUGGUGCCUUGAUUUUGUUUUCAUGUGAAGCUUUCGUGUGCUGUUAAUUUGUUAUGGUAUUGAUUUUUUUUUUUUAAUCGUCGGAUUUUAUGGUGGCUUGUUUGUGUAAUUUGGUUGCCACACUCCUUGCACAAUUGGUUUAAGAGCCCAGGUUCAUUAGAUAUUUUCUGUAAAAAUAAAUGAUGGAAGACGGGCAGGUGACGAUCAAAUGGCAAGGAUUUCAAAUUGUGCGUCAUAGAUUAAGGCCUACAUCAGUGAAGUGGGGAACAAAUUAUUUGGCAAGGAUUUCAAUUUGUGUCAACAGGAAGUGUAUUUUACACUUGAGUCGAUUUUCAUCAUUCGCACGCUCUCAUCGGAGAGUGAAAGUAUGCUUUACAUGUCUAGUUUUCUCGUUAACCGAAUAUAUCAGAAUUCUAAUGUCAAUGCAGACUUGAUGAUCUUGCGAAACUACCUGGAAGACUAGGAAAAUUACCCUUGUUGGAUGUACUAGAAGCAUUUAGAGAAGGAUGUUAAUUGGUGUGUCAGAAUCAUGAAGUGUCAUAGAUUGAAUGGAAAUUGCAUGAAUGUGAUCGAUUGUACAUUUAAGUGAAGUUUAAGCGUUUAAGUUUUCUCAA